rnacentral:rRNA from 1 species
AUUGAACGCUGGCGGCAGGCCUAACACAUGCAAGUCGAACGAGUGGCGGACGGGUGAGUAAUGUCUGUGAAACUGCCUGAUGGAGGGGGAUGACUACUGGAAACGGUAGCUAAUACCGCAUACCAUCAGAUGUGCCCAGAUGGGAUUAGCUUGUUGGUGGGGUAACGGCUCACCAAGGCGACGAUCCCAUGCUGGUGUGAGAGGAUGACCAGCCCCACUGAACCUGAGACACGAUACAGACUCCACUGCGAGGCGGCAGAGGAGAAUAGUGCACAAUGGAAUGGAGCCAGGUGCGAACAAGCCACGUAGAGGACGAGAGCCUUGCGGUUGUAGAGUACUAUCGGCGGGAAGGCGUUACCCGAUGAAGAAGCACCGGCUAACUCCGUGCCAGCAGCCGCGGUAAUAC